AUUAGAGUUUGAUCCUGGCUCAGGACGGACGCUGGCGGCGUGCUUAACACAUGCAAGUCGAGCGAUGAAGCCCCUUCGGGAGUGGAUUAGCGGCGGACGGGUGAGUAACACGUGGGUAACCUACCUCAAAGAGGGGGAUAGCCUCCCGAAAGGGAGAUUAAUACCGCAUAAUAAUCAGUUUUCACAUGGAAAUUGAUUUAAAGGAGUAAUCCGCUUUGAGAUGGACCCGCGGCGCAUUAGCUAGUUGGUAGGGUAACGGCCUACCAAGGCGACGAUGCGUAGCCGACCUGAGAGGGUGAUCGGCCACAUUGGAACUGAGAGACGGUCCAGACUCCUACGGGAGGCAGCAGUGGGGAAUAUUGCACAAUGGGCGAAAGCCUGAUGCAGCAACGCCGCGUGAGUGAAGAAGGUUUUCGGAUUGUAAAGCUCUGUCUUUGGGGACGAUAAUGACGGUACCCAAGGAGGAAGCCACGGCUAACUACGUGCCAGCAGCCGCGGUAAUACGUAGGUGGCAAGCGUUGUCCGGAAUUACUGGGCGUAAAGAGUGCGUAGGCGGAUAUUUAAGUGAGAUGUGAAAUACCCGGGCUUAACCCGGGCACUGCAUUUCAAACUGGAUAUCUAGAGUGCGGGAGAGGAGAAUGGAAUUCCUAGUGUAGCGGUGAAAUGCGUAGAGAUUAGGAAGAACACCAGUGGCGAAGGCGAUUCUCUGGACCGUA
rnacentral:rRNA from 1 species